rnacentral:rRNA from 1 species
CGGCGAACGGGUGAGUAACACGUGAGCAACCUGCCCCGAAGACUGGGAUAACACCGGGAAACCCGGUGCUAAUACCGGAUACCCCACCAGGCCGCAUGACCAGGUGAGGAAAUGAAUUUCGCUUCGGGAGGGGCUCGCGGGCUAUCAGCUUGUUGGUGGGGUAACGGCCUACCAAGGCGACGACGGCUAGCUGGUCUGAGAGGACGACCAGCCACACUGGGACUGAGACACGGCCCAG